CUGCCAGGACCUGCCCGUCCCGUCAUCCUCCGCGCUAAGAUGUCGGCGGCGAUCGCCGCGCUCGCCUCCUACGGCGGCUCCGACUCGGAGCCUGACUCGGAACCCGAGGCCGAGGGCGGCUCCCAGCGCUCCGCCGCCGUGCUCGCCAGCCGCGACGCCGUGCUGCACCUCUGCCCGCCGCCCGUCGCGCCCCCGGCGCUGCCCGUCGAUGCGGCCCCGGAAGUAGCCGUGAAGGAAGAUGUGGAAACAGGAGUCCACCUUGAUCCUGCUAUCAAGGAAGUUCAGUACAAUCCCACUUAUGAAACUAUGUUUGCACCUGAGUUUGGACCAGAAAACCCAUUUAGGACUCAACAAAUGGCUGCACCUAGAAAUAUGCUUUCUGGAUAUGCAGAACCAGCUCACAUCAAUGAUUUCAUGUUUGAACAACAAAGAAGAACAUUUGCAACCUAUGGUUAUGCAUUAGAUCCCUCCAUAGAUAACCCCGAAGUUGCUACCAAGUAUAUUGGUUCUGUAGAAGAAGCUGAAAAAAAUCAAGGUUUAACAGUGUUUGAAACAGGACAGAGGAAAAUUGAGAAAAGAAAGAAAUUCAAGGAGAAUGACGCAUCUAAUAUUGAUGGUUUUCUGGGACCAUGGGCAAAGUAUGUUGAUGAAAAAGAAGUAGCCAAACCAUCAGAAGAAGAGCAGAAGGAGUUGGAUGAAAUAACAGCUAAGAGGCAGAAGAGAGGAAAACUAGAAGAUGAUAAACCUGGAGAGGAGAAGACUAUAUUACAUGUUAAGGAAAUGUAUGACUAUCAGGGGAGAUCUUAUCUUCAUGUCCCACAAGAUGUUGGAGUUAAUCUUCGUUCUACAGUGCCACCUGAGAAGUGCUAUCUUCCAAAGAAACAAAUCCAUGUGUGGUCGGGACAUACAAAGGGUGUCAGUGCAGUUAGAUUGUUUCCUCUGUCUGGGCAUAUACUGUUGUCUUGCUCUAUGGAUUGCAAAAUCAAGCUAUGGGAAGUAUAUGGUGAUCGAAGAUGUCUACGAACGUUUAUUGGACACAGUAAAGCUGUUCGAGACAUCUGUUUUAAUAAUGCAGGCACUCAGUUUCUUAGUGCUGCAUAUGACCGCUAUCUUAAACUCUGGGACACUGAAACAGGGCAAUGUAUUUCAAGAUUCACCAACAGGAAGGUUCCUUAUUGUGUCAAGUUCAAUCCUGAUGAAGAUAAACAAAAUCUCUUUGUUGCAGGAAUGUCAGAUAAGAAAAUUGUGCAGUGGGAUAUUCGAAGUGGUGAGAUUGUGCAAGAAUACGAUAGGCAUUUGGGAGCUGUCAACACCAUUGUGUUUGUGGAUGAAAAUAGAAGGUUUGUGAGUACAUCUGAUGACAAGAGUUUAAGAGUCUGGGAAUGGGACAUUCCUGUAGACUUCAAGUACAUUGCUGAACCAAGCAUGCAUUCCAUGCCAGCUGUGACUUUGUCUCAAAUGGGAAAUGGUUGGCUUGCCAGUCAAUGGAUAAUCAAAUUCUGAUUUUUGGAGCUCAGAACAGAUUCAGAUUAAACAAAAAGAAAAUUUUCAAAGGUCACAUGGUAGCUGGCUACGCUUGUCAAGUGGAUUUUUCACCUGAUAUGAGCUAUGUGAUAUCUGGAGAUGCAGAUGGAAAACUAAACAUCUGGGACUGGAAGACGACAAAACUCUACAGCAGAUUAAAAGCACAUGAUAAAGUCUGUAUUGGUGCAGUGUGGCAUCCACACGAAACAUCUAAAGUCAUCACAUGCGGCUGGGAUGGUCUUAUUAAACUAUGGGACUAAAGAUGAGGCUACAAAUACGUAAAGAUGCAAGUCCUGCACACAUCUGAGAUUAGAAUGAAUUCUGCUGUAAGGAUGGGUAGAUGUGUGUAAUACUGCAGUUCUCAGCUUGCUGUAUAUAUGCACUAAAAUCAAGAAAUCUUCAGAAGACUCAACUGAAAGGAUAUAGUUCUAAAUAUGGCAUCUGGGUAUGAGGAGCUGAGGUCAUCUGAAGCAUGCAGAAUCACAUGUUAGUUUGUCCUGUCACUGCUUGUGAAAAACACUCUUGUAAAAUAAAUAAUUUUACGAAAAACUAUUUUUGUGGGUCUGGCUGUCAAGAGAUGUGGAGAGUCAAAGGAGAAAACCAGCAAUUGUUAACUUUCUUCCAAAAAAAGAAACCUUUGGUACCUACUUCAAGAGCUGGAAAAGAUGUGCUUCUUUACCUGGUUUUAGGUGGUAUUUUGUUGUCACCAAAAUACUUCUGCCUUUAUAAAGCACAAACCCACUUACUGAGAUUUGUUAAUUCAGAGUAGAAAUGAAGAACUAAUCGGAAGCUAUCACUUGCCACGUAAAUUCUGUCAACUGAAGACUGCAUUCAUACCUAGUCUUAGUUUCUGUCUGUAGAAUUAUGAUGAUGACUGACUUUAACCUUUGCCAGUAGUCUUCACUUUCAAGAUUUUGUAAUGGUUGGGUGCUAUGUGUUUGGGUUUUGUUUCCCAUAUGUUGUUUUGUUCCAGUAAGCAUGAAUAUUAGAAAAAAAA